CUUGUCCAGUUCGCUAGAUGCUUAGAUACAAUCAAAGACACAAUCACGAUUAUAUAUGCGCGCACAUAGUCAUCGGAUGUCGGUUCGAUGGCUCCAAGAGGAACGUUGCAAUCCCGCGUGCGCAUACACGCUUUAUGGCAGAUCUUUCUGACGAACCAUGAAACGUCCUUGCAGAGGAUCGCACAGUUCGAUUCACAUAAUGAUGAUCUGUCGUCGUCUGCCUCUACUUCCAUGGCUACCAUCACCACCACCAAAAUCAUCAUUACCACCACGUUUCUCCCCAUAUCUCUUCUUUCUUCUUUGGCCUUAUUUUAUGUAUACACAAUGGACUUUAUGAACGAACAACACCAUGUGUAUAUAUAACAUGACCAAACCUAUAAUUAUUGGUUUCUACUGAUGAUGGUAUACGUAUGAGG
rnacentral:lncRNA from 1 species